rnacentral:rRNA from 1 species
UUUCUGGUGGGUAUAGCUGUGGGGAAACACCCGUUCCCAUUCCGAAUACGGUAGUAAAGUCUACAGCGUCGAGAAUACUUGCCUGGUAACGGGCUGGAAAGGUAGAUACUGCCAGAUCU